rnacentral:lncRNA from 1 species
ACAAACCAGAGACCAAAAACUGGAAUGACAAUAACACAUGGAGCACUUUGAAUAUCCUAGCCAAUUGAGGGUUACAUCUGCCUGUAAAUUACCCAUGCUUUCUCUCCGCACACAGUCUGCCCACAUCAUCUGUGAAUAAAUAACCAUAAAAAAUAAAUGGAGAGGAAAGACGACA